rnacentral:rRNA from 1 species
AUUGAACGCUGGCGGCAGGCCUAACACAUGCAAGUCGAGCGGAUGGAGGGAGCUUGCUCCUGGAUUCAGCGGCGGACGGGUGAGUAAUGCCUAGGAAUCUGCCUGGUAGUGGGGGAUAACGUCCGGAAACGGGCGCUAAUACCGCAUACGUCCUGAGGGAGAAAGUGGGGGAUCUUCGGACCUCACGCUAUCAGAUGAGCCUAGGUCGGAUUAGCUAGUUGGUGGGGUAAAGGCCUACCAAGGCGACGAUCCGUAACUGGUCUGAGAGGAUGAUCAGUCACACUGGAACUGAGACACGGUCCAGACUCCUACGGGAGGCAGCAGUGGGGAAUAUUGGACAAUGGGCGAAAGCCUGAUCCAGCCAUGCCGCGUGUGUGAAGAAGGUCUUCGGAUUGUAAAGCACUUUAAGUUGGGAGGAAGGGCAGUAAGUUAAUACCUUGCUGUUUUGACGUUACCAACAGAAUAAGCACCGGCUAACUUCGUGCCAGCAGCCGCGGUAAUACGAAGGGUGCAAGCGUUAAUCGGAAUUACUGGGCGUAAAGCGCGCGUAGGUGGUUCAGCAAGUUGGAUGUGAAAUCCCCGGGCUCAACCUGGGAACUGCAUCCAAAACUACUGAGCUAGAGUACGGUAGAGGGUGGUGGAAUUUCCUGUGUAGCGGUGAAAUGCGUAGAUAUAGGAAGGAACACCAGUGGCGAAGGCGACCACCUGGACUGAUACUGACACUGAGGUGCGAAAGCGUGGGGAGCAAACAGG